CUUUUAAAGGAUAAAAGUAAUCCAAUGGUUUUAGGCACCAUCCCCC
rnacentral:tRNA from 1 species